UACGUAGGGUGCAAGCGUUAAUCGGAUUUACUGGGCGUAAAGCGUGCGUAGGCGGUUCAUUAAGUCGGUUGUGAAAUCCCUGGGCUUAACCUGGGAACUGCAGUCGAUACUGGUGAACUAGAAUGCGGUAGAGGGUGGCGGAACUCCGGGUGUAGCGGUGAAAUGCGUAGAUAUCCGGAAGAACACCGAUGGCGAAGGCAACCACCUGGGCCUGCAUUGACGCUGAGGUACGGAAGCGUGGGGAGCAAACAGG
rnacentral:rRNA from 1 species